rfam:Picea glauca, whole genome shotgun sequence.
ACAUGCCUACAUAAUACCGUUAAUGCACUAGAUCCCAUUAGAACUCUGCAGUUAAGCGCGCUUAGGCUAGAGUAGUACUAGGAUGAGUGACUACCCGGGAAGUUCUAGUGUUUUACAUGCC